AGAGCUGGAACCCGAGGCUGAAGCAGAACCAGAGCCGGAACUGGAGCCAGAACCGGACCCAGAGCCCGAGCCCGACUUCGAGGAAAGGGACGAGUCCGAAGGUAUUCCUGAAGGCCAGAGCUCUGACAGGCGGUGCCCCGCCCAUGCUGGAUAGGACCUGGGAUGCUGCUGGAGCUGAAUCGGAUGCCACCAAGGCUCGGUCCAGCCCAGUACCGCUGGAAGUGAAUAAACUCCGGAGGGUCGGACGGGACCUGGGCUCUCUCCACGAUUCUGGCUGUUUGCCCAGGAACUUAGGGUGGGUACCUCUGAGUCCCAGG
rnacentral:lncRNA from 10 species